rnacentral:rRNA from 1 species
AACGAACGCUGGCGGCAGGCCUAACACAUGCAAGUCGAGCGCGCCCUUCGGGGUGAGCGGCGGACGGGUGAGUAACGCGUGGGAACGUGCCCUUUUCUACGGAAUAGCCUCGGGAAACUGAGAGUAAUACCGUAUACGCCCUUUGGGGGAAAGAUUUAUCGGAAAAGGAUCGGCCCGCGUUGGAUUAGGUAGUUGGUGGGGUAAUGGCCUACCAAGCCGACGAUCCAUAGCUGGUUUGAGAGGAUGAUCAGCCACACUGGGGCUGAGACACGGCCCAGACUCCUACGGGAGGCAGCAGUGGGGAAUCUUAGACAAUGGGGGCAACCCUGAUCUAGCCAUGCCGCGUGAGUGAUGAAGGCCUUAGGGUUGUAAAGCUCUUUCAGCUGGGAAGAUAAUGACGGUACCAGCAGAAGAAGCCCCGGCUAACUCCGUG